rnacentral:rRNA from 1 species
UACGAAGGGGGCUAGCGUUGCUCGGAAUCACUGGGCGUAAAGCGCACGUAGGCGGAUCUUUAAGUCAGGGGUGAAAUCCUGGAGCUCAACUCCAGAACUGCCUUUGAUACUGGGGAUCUCGAGUCCGGGAGAGGUGAGUGGAACUCCGGGUGUAGAGGUGAAAUUCGUAGAUAUUCGGAAGAACACCAGUGGCGAAGGCGGCUCACUGGCCCGGUACUGACGCUGAGGUGCGAAAGCGUGGGGAGCAAACAGG